rnacentral:lncRNA from 1 species
GCCUUCAUUGAUUUUCUAAGGUGGAGGGCUAGGGGUGAUGCAUCUAGCGAGGCUGCCAUCCGGGCUAUCUACCAUUCAGUAUAUCUGGUUGGCUAGGAAUAGUAUUGUUUUCAAGUCCAGGAGGUACCCAAUGAGGUUUAUCUUUGAAAGAGCCCUGAUCUAGAUACGGGAGUUGAUUCAUAUGACCUGUAAGCCUUUGAAGACAUGGGACUCCCACCUUGCU